rnacentral:lncRNA from 1 species
UGGGGUGUCUAAAUUAUAAUCCAUAGAAUUUUUAAUUAAUUUGCCAAAAUGUAGUUUAUAUCCUGCUUGUUUAAAAACAUUAAUAAAAAGAAUGGGUCACCGGACUUAUUUUCACACUACAGGUUGUGCAAAAUUGUCCGAUUUUGUAUAGAUUAUGCAUGGAAAACCCAAUUUUGCGUCAUAAAACGAAAACUACACCAUAGAAUUUUGAGAUAAAAUAUGAGAAGAUAGCUCCAAUAUUAUGCUUUUAGAUAAGAAAAAGAAAAAAUGGGGUCACCGGACUCGUUUUCUUGCUACAUAGCAAAAUUGGUAAAUUCCUAACACAUUCUAUUGUAAAAGUAACACUAUCUGAAUUAUCUGCCCUUGCAUUUGAGUUGUCUCCCCUUAUUUGGCAAAGUUGGAAAAAAUUUAAUCAAACAAAAGUAAUCGUUUUUUUGAAAAAUACAACCAUAAAUAUAAUAAAACAUGGCAUUUUCUAUAUCAUAAUAAAAAAUUCUUACACAUGAAUUAACUUCUAAUCUCAAAAUUUGCACAUUUGAUUAAAGUUCUAGACCUUGUUUUCUGGUAUUUCAAAAUCCAA